rnacentral:lncRNA from 1 species
AGGGCAGGUCCUGGGUGGGGUCAGGAGGGCUGGGUUCUCAGCCCAAANGGGGUUGGGGGGGGGGGGGGGGGGGGGGGGGGGGGGGGGGGGUUGCUGAGGGUGCCCAGCUCCUACCAGCCCCGUGAUCACUGCAUUUCAGGCCCACCCGAGGGUGUGCUCAUUUCUCAGGACCAGCAAGACAGAGUCCUGCACCUCCCCGAUGUCCUGAGAGGGACAGUGCCUGCCCAGAUCGUGGCAAGGGCAGGCUUGGCUGGAGCCGUGUGCCUGGGUCCCUGAGGGCUGGGUGUUGGCCCUGAGGCUGAGUCCUGGCCACACAGACGCUGUGACAGGUCCCUGCCAGGGCGGUGCCGGGAGCAAGACAUGCCCAGAAACCAAGUGCCACCUUCUUCUGCCUUACGGAACCCCCAUUCUCCAGAUCCUCCGCAAAGCGACCCAGAAGUUGAGUCCCAGACCCCUUGGAGCGGGAACCGUUGGCCUGAGAAGCUUGAGGAUCACGUUCAAUUCAUCAUUAUUUGGCGCCCUGAUUGACUUGCCCGCGUGGAGACUUCUCGCGGCUGUGCCUGGUCCUCCCGGCCCAGUUCUGGCCGCGCGCGCGCGCGCCCCUCGCCCAGCUUAAUUGACUGUGUCUCUAACCCGCCACGAGGUGCAGCUUCUAAUGAUGAAUAAACAACGGUGCGCGAUUACCGGCGAAAUUACCCAUCUGCGGGUCAUGCUGGGCAAGCACUUCUCAAGCAAAAACGCCUCCCGACCUCCAGCUUGAGGCGGCUGCGUCAGGACACAUUCCCAAGGCGGGCUCUGGGGCGAGCCAGGGGACGCCUGGUCUGGGUGGCCUGUGGCUGCUCUAACAAGCACACGACCUGCUCACGUCCCCGUGUCCCCCCAGUACUGGCCGUCGGGGCCAUCAUCAGCUGAUGCCACGCCCCACGGCCUCCCCCGUUCAGCAGAGCUCUCCUUCUGAGAAUCCAAAUUCCAC